UACGUAGGGUGCGAGCGUUGUCCGGAAUUAUUGGGCGUAAAGGGCUCGUAGGCGGUUUGUCGCGUCUGCUGUGAAAACUCAGGGCUUAACCCUGAGCUUGCAGUGGGUACGGGCAGACUAGAGUGCGGUAGGGGAGACUGGAAUUCCUGGUGUAGCGGUGAAAUGCGCAGAUAUCAGGAAGAACACCUAUGGCGAAGGCAGCUCUCUGGGACGGUACUGACGCUGAGACGCGAAAGCGUGGGGAGCGAACAGG
rnacentral:rRNA from 1 species